GCUAAGACUGGAUAGGAAGAAAUAAGGCAUCUUUUUUCUUUUAAAAGACCUAGUGAUAGGUAUACUUUAGGAGGGGCUUGCGCCAUAUUAGUUAGUUGGUAGGGUAAUGGCCUACCAAGACGAUGAUGUGUAGCUGGACUGAGAGGUUGAACAGCCACAUUGGGACUGAGACACGGCCCAAACUCCUACGGGAGGCAGCAGUAGGGAAUUUUCGGCAAUGGAGGAAACUCUGACCGAGCAACGCCGCGUGAACGACGAAGUACUUUGGUAUGUAAAGUUCUUUUAUCAAGGAAGAAAAGCAAGUGGUGAACCAUUUGUUUGCCGGUACUUGAUGAAUAAGCCCCGGCUAAUUAUGUGCCAGCAGCCGCGGUAAGACACUAAGGGGCAAGUGUUAUCCGGAAUUAUUGGGCGUAAAGGGUGCGUAGGCGGUCUAGUAAGUCAGUGGUGUAAUGGCAACGCUCAACGUUGUCCGGCUAUUGAAACUGCUAAACUUGAGUUAGAUAGAGGCGAGUGGAAUUCCAUGUGUAGCGGUAAAAUGCGUAAAUAUAUGGAGGAACACCAGAGGCGUAGGCGGCUCGCUGGGUCUUAACUGACGCUGAGGCACGAAAGCGUGGGGAGCAACAGGAUUAGAUACCCUGGUAGUCCACGCCGUAAACGAUGAGUACUAAGUGUCGGGUUAAACCGGUACUGAAGUUAACACAUUAAGUACUCCGCCUGAGUAGUACGUACGCAAGUAUGAAACUUAAAGGAAUUGACGGGACUCCGCACAAGCGGUGGAUCAUGUUGUUUAAUUCGAAGAUACCCGAAAAACCUUUACCAGGUCUUGACAUGUUUUUGCGAAACGGUAGUAAUAUCGUGGAGGUUAUCAGAAACACAGGUGGUGCAUGGUUGUCGUCAGCUCGUGUCGUGAGAUGUUAGGUUAAGUCCUAAAACGAGCGAAACCCUUAUCGUUAGUUGCCAGCACGUUAUGGUGGGGACUUUAACGAGACUGCCAGUGAUAAAUUGGAGGAAGGUGAGGAUCACGUCAAAUCAGCAUGCCCCUUAUGACCUGGGCUACAAACGUGAUACAAUGGCUGUUACAAAGGGUAGCUGAAACGCAAGUUCUUGGCCAAUCCCCAAAAACAGUCUCAGUCCGGAUUGAAGUCUGCAACUCGACUUCAUGAAGUUGGAAUCGCUAGUAAUCGCGAAUCAGCAUGUCGCGGUGAAUACGUUCUCGGGGUUUGUACACACCGCCCGUCA
rnacentral:rRNA from 1 species